rnacentral:rRNA from 1 species
GGAGAUAACCCCUCGUACCUUUUGCAUCAUGAAUUAGUUAGACACAAACAUGCAAAGAGAACUUUAGUAUGAAACCCCGAAAUUGGGUGAGCUACUCCAAGACAGCCUAGGAAUAGGGCAAACCCGUCUCUGUGGCAAAAGAGUGGGAAGAGCUUUGAGUAGAGGUGACAGACCUACCGAACCCAAUUAUAGCUGGUUGCCUGUGAAAUGGAUAUAAGUUCAGCCCUCUAGUUUAUCCCCAAACUAAAGGAGUUAUUCACAGGGGGUACAGCCCCUCUGAAUUAGGACACAACCUUACAAGAAGGAUAAAGAUCAUCUUAAAUAAGGGACCGUGCCUCAGUGGGCCUAAAAGCAGCCACCUGCAUAAAAAGCGUCACAGCUUAAGCACACUAUCCCGAUAAACCCUCCUUAAUCCCCCACACAUAACAGGCCUUCCUAUACUAUAUAGGAGCGACUAUGCUAACAUGAGUAAUAAGAGGGGACCCUCUCCCAGCACAGGUGUAUCUCGGAUUGGACAAACCACCGAAAAUUAACGGCCUCAAAUAAAGAGAGAACUGAGGAAUAACAAGAAAAACACUCCCCGUUAAACCCACACUGGAGUGCACGUAAGGAAAGACUAAAAAGAAAAGAAGGAACUCGGCAAAAAAGCCUCGCCUGUUUACCAAAAACAUCGCCUCUUGCUAGAAUAAGAGGUCGCGCCUGCCCAGUGACAUCUGAUUAAACGGCCGCGGUAUUUUAACUGUGCUAAGGUAGCGCAAUCACUUGUCUUUUAAAUGAAGACCUGUAUGAAAGGUAUGACGAGGGCUUAACUGUCUCCUUUUCUAAGUCAAUGAAAUUGAUCUCCCCGUGCAGAAGCGGGGAUAAUAACAUAAGACGAGAAGACCCUGUGGAGCUUAAGACGUCAGAGCGGACCCCGUUAAAAAUGCCUAAAAGCUAUAAACUGAAGGGCGACCACCCUAGUGUCUUCGGUUGGGGCGACCAUGGGGAAAACAAAUCCCCCACGUGGACUAAGAGCACUCUUACAAACCAGAGCAACAGCUCCAAUUAACAGAAUUUCUGACCAAAAAUGAUCCGGCAGUGCCGAUCAACGAACCAAGUUACCCCAGGGAUAACAGCGCAAUCCCCUUUUAGAGCCCCUAUCGACAAGGGGGUUUACGACCUCGAUGUUGGAUCAGG